UACGAAGGGGGCUAGCGUUGUUCGGAAUUACUGGGCGUAAAGCGCACGUAGGCGGCUUUGUAAGUUAGAGGUGAAAGCCCGGGGCUCAACUCCGGAACUGCCUUUAAGACUGCAUCGCUUGAAUCCAGGAGAGGUGAGUGGAAUUCCGAGUGUAGAGGUGAAAGUUCGUAGAUAUUCGGAAAGAACACCAGUGGCGAAGGCGGCUCACGUGGACUGGUAUUGACGCUGAGG
rnacentral:rRNA from 1 species